rnacentral:sRNA from 1 species
GAGAAGCUCUACGGCACCCACGAU